ensembl:lncRNA
CAAAUCUGACCCCCCCAGCCAUUACUUAUGUAAAGUAAAAAAAAAAAAACAUUUCUAGUAGAAAAAAAUAACAAAAAUAUCAACAUAACGCCAAACUAAUGCCUAAAUAAUAAUUUUCUAGCACACAUGCCCCCCUCCAUUGUGCAUUGGACUAGUCCAGAAUAUGAUGACGUAGUAACGCGCGCAGCGCGAAAUAACGUACUUCAAACCAAAGCAUAGGGAUGCGACUCGGUGAAAAUGAAGCGGCGGAAUUAUGAAAGUGGUUGUGCUAAACGAAGACAAAAAGCUGAGAAGAGAAGAAUUGCAGAUACACUGCCGAAAUUAACAUCAUUUUUUACACCUGCUGCUGCCACAGCAGCCGCGGCUGCUGAACUUGCGACAGGCUCUGCUGUUGGGGGAAAUGAUGAAGUGGAGGUGGAGGAGGAAGGAGGAGAGGUGGGUGCCGAAGGAGAAGAGGUGGCUAUGGAAGCCGAAGGAGAGGAAGAUGAAGACGAAGAUGAUUUGGCGUACAACAAGAUGGGAGGCUAGGGUGGAGUCCGUGAAAGCCGUCCGAUACCAGUUGCCUGAAAUUUUGGAUGCCCUGACCGCUCUGAGGGAGUAUGCUGAGGAGAAGCAAGACUCUGAAUGCGCCUCCAAUGCCAACGGCAUUCACAAAGAGAUGAAGAAAUGGCCUUUUCUGUGAGAAAACAACAGGGGAAAAGACAGAUGAACAACAUCACCUUCUAUCAGUGAGCCCUGGCUGAACAAGGUUGGGUUCUAUACUGCUGCUCACCACUAUUCUCUGAUAUGAAGACGACAACAGUCAUGGCCGAUCACAGCUGCUCACCAUCAUUGACACCAGCAUCCCCACACACAUGAUCUUCAUCCAGGCAGCUCUCUCUCUCUCUCUCUCUCUCUCUCUCUCUCUCUCUCUCUCUCUCUCUCUCUCUCUCUCUCUCUCUCUCUCUCUCUCUCUCUCUCUCUCUCUCUCUCUCUCUCUCUCUCUCUCUCUCUCUCUCUCUCUCUCUCUCCUGUCACUCACUCACACUGAACCACUGCUUUGCCUGUCUCUCACUCACACACACAGCCACUGUUAUUCCUGUCCACACACAAAAUCUUUUCAUUGGUCCUGUUUAAAUGUAAAUUGUGGUUUUCAUAGACUCAUAUCCAUUUUGUAUUUUAGUUCUGUUAAGUGCAAGAUCAUUUUGUAUCUCUGGCAGAGAAUGGAAAUUUUAAUCUCUCUCUCUCUCUCUCUCUCUCUCUCUCUCUCUCUCUCUCUCUC